UUUACUAUCAGUGGUUCUCAAUUCUGGGUUGUGAGAAAGACAGAAAAAGGAGUAGGCUCAUCAGAAUCACCUUGGGCAGGCUUUUCAAAAAGUGUACAUGUCUAUCUCUCUUCUAGCUUCUCAUGGGCAUUCCCUGUUGAGAGUCACUGUCUUAAACCUUAUGAUUCAAGUAGUUUAGUCCCAUUAACUGAUACAGA